rnacentral:rRNA from 1 species
AAUUGGAGGGCAAGUCUGGUGCCAGCAGCCGCGGUAAUUCCAGCUCCAAUAGCGUAUAUUAAAGUUGUUGCAGUUAAAAAGCUCGUAGUUGAAUUUCGGGAUCAAUAUUUCGGUCAUGCCGUUGGUAUGCACUGUUAUCAUUGAUUUCUCACCUUCUAAAGAACCGUAAUGCCAUUAAUUUGGUGUUACGGGGAAUUAGGACUGUUACCUUGAAAAAAUUAGAGUGUUUAAAGCAGGCUCACGCUUGAAUACAUUAGCAUGGAAUAAUGAAAUAGGACAUCCGAUUCUAUUUUGUUGAUUUCUAGGAUCGAUGUAAUGAUUAAUAGGGAUAGUUGGGGGCAUUAGUAUUCAAUUGUCAGAGGUGAAAUUCUUGGAUUUAUUGAAGACUAACUACUGCGAAAGCAUUUGCCAAGGAUGUUUUCAUUAAUCAAGAACGAAAGUUAGGGGAUCGAAGACGAUCAGAUACCGUCGUAGUCUUAACCAUAAACUAUGCCGACUAGGGAUCGGAUGAUGUUAAUUUUUUAAUGACUCAUUCGGCGCCUUACGGGAAACCAAAGUGU